rnacentral:misc_RNA from 1 species
AUGCAGGCAAAGAUGGCUUGUUUUAUAAUGUGAGAUCCUCAUUCAGAGUUCAUUGCUUCAUACCCAAAACCAAACUCAAACCCAUAAGCAGAUUUUCUGCUCGUCCAUAAUAUGGCUUUAGAAUCAUUUGCCUCCAUUGUUGCUGAGCAAGUCCUAGAAAAGCUAGCUUCCAACGCCUACCAAGAACUUUCAACAGCAUGGGGUGUCGAAGGGGAAUUGAAAAAGCUUGAGGGCAUCUUGAAGACCGUUAGUGCUGUGCUAUUGGAUGCUGAGGAG